AGUGACUUUUCCUCCUUCCUGGGCUUGCUCACUUCCUUUCCCUUUACCCCUGCUUCCUGGGAUCUCCUCCCAAACGAACGAGUCCUGUCUCAGGCUCUGCUUCUGGGGGAACCCAAGCUAAGACAGAAGUGCUAUUAACAACUUGAGGAUCUGAAUGCCAUCUCUUACCUUUCAGAAUUGUCACUUACACCUAAACCAGAGAGGAGGAGAGUCUCAACACUGGCUUUGAAACGCCUCUGACCCACAGGAAAGGGCUGUUUUCAAGUGUCAGGAGGAAGCCCGGGGAGCUUGGCUUGGAAAGACUUACAGUGCAGAGGACAGCAGACACAGCAGAGUGUGGGAGGUAAUGCCUGAAGCUUAACUAGAGGGUUUCAGUGAAAGUUUGCAGACUGCCUGCAAGGACCUCCCCCAGAGCCUUCCUCGGAGGCUGGCGGUCAAGCACGGACUCCCCAAGAGAAAGACUGAAGAGGAUAAGUACCCCCAGACUGACAAGUUAACGCGAAGGUGUGUGAUGAAAAGACAAUGACACAGGAGCUGACAAUUCUGACAAGAAUAUGACAGACCAUGUUAUGAGAGAAAUCAGUCAGUCUCUUUCCUCCCACAUCCCCUCUGGUGGGCACAUUGGUUAUUAUGGGUCCACUUGGGCCCCCGAUUCAUAUAGGCUGAUGCCCUAACCCUCAGUAUGACUCAGAAUGUGACUGUAUUUGGAGACAGGGCCUUUAAAGAGGGAACUAAGUUCAAAUGGGGUCGUUAGGGUGGGCCCUAAUUUAACAUGGCAGAUGUCCCGUGAGAAGAUUAGGAGACAGACAACAGACAGAGGGUUGACUGUGUUAGGGCAAAGCAAGAAGGUGGCCAUCUGCAAACCAAGGAAAGAGGCCUCAGAAGGAACUACGACUGCCAACACUUAGAUCUCAGAUCUCCAGCCUCCAGAACCGCAAGAAAAUUGAUUUCUGUUGUUUAAGCCACCCGGCCCUAGCAGACUGAAACAUGACAAGGCCGGCGCUGGCCCCCCAAGCACCUCUGCAGAGACCCGGGAUGCCAGGGAGGCCCAUUUACAAGCCAGCAAUUCAAAAGAGAGGAGGCUAAGGGUAAGUGUCGGCUGGACCCUUCUUCCCAUACUCUCCUGGUUCCAUGUUCUCCUCGCUUCCGUCAAUAGUCCACGAAGACCUUCCUCCCCCGUUGGUCCAAACAAACCCACAUCGGAUCGACCAUUUUCUAGUGUCUGAGCUGACGUGCUAAGUGCAGAAGCUUUUCAACGUCCAGUAUUCGAAGUAUGGAGACUUUCUGUCUUGCUUACAAUUCAGCGAUUCUAUUUCUGCUGCCCUGUUAUUCUGGUACCUAUGUGCGAUUGCAUGGAACUGUGAAACGUUAAAAACUCAGGAGGAGCUCUUUUCUCCUGAAAUAUAAAGACUCUGUGAUACUGCUUCUUGCAAAAGUGUCUUUGAAGGCCUCCUACCAUGUGCCGGUGCUCAGCCCUGCAGAGGUGGGGCAGGGCGAGAGGGUGGGACCUCCUUGAUGAUGGGCAGGCUAGGGGACAUCCUCCAGGCUGUUGGUUGCCAAAAGGAUUCUGACGACUCGAAGCCCUUUCCCCUGUGGUCACUUUAGGUCUCCCGCUGUCGAAUGCCCCUCUGGUUCUGGCAACUGUCCUCUGACCACAAAGUAGGGCUUUGCCGAUGCCUGAUGUUUAUUUCCAUUUAAUUAAGUCUAGGUCACUUGUACUGUCUUGUUUUCUCCCAGUUCUUUCAAACCCAGCGUUUUGGAUCAAUGCAGGGAGGAAAAUCCAGGCUUCAAAGCUACUUCUACCUCUAGAUAAGUGUGUAAAAACAAACAAACAAACAAACAAACAAAUAUGGGGCGCCUGGGCGACUCAGUUGGGUGAGCGUCCAACUUCGGCUCAGGUCACAAUCUCACAGUUUGUGGGUUUGAGCCCCGCAUCGGGCUCUGUACUGACAGUUCAGAGCUGGCUUCAGAUCCUGUCUCCCUCUCUCUGCCCCUCCCCUGCUCAGACUCUGUCUCUCUUGUCUGUCUGUCUCUCUCUCUCACAAAGAAAUCAACAUUAAAAAAAUUUAAAGUAUGCCAUUUAAAAAACAAACAAAUAAAACAAAAGCACUAUAUAUUGGAAAGCUUUAGGUUUCCCAUUAAUUUCCACUUUUAUUUUUUUAAAUGAAGAGAGGAUAGAGAAGGGAGAACCAUGAAGGGCCACAGAGGAAAGGGACAAGAAGAAAAGCAGUAGCAGGGCAAGCCAGAGCCGCUGGAGUUCAUGGCUGGCAGGAGCGGAGUUGGGUGUCCUCGGCGCCGACCAGAGCAUAGCCAAGCCUUCUGAGCCUUGGUGGACCAUACUGGCAGCUCCAGGCCAGUGUGACCCCGAAGCCGGGCCAAAGACACCCUCGGGGAGUAACCAAGUUCAGGGUGGAGCUUCUUAGCAUGGUCACAAGGAGGAGGAGCAGAGGCCAAAAUGGCAGCUAAGGACAAAGGCUAGCAGCCUAGAAGCUGGCGUAGAAAUAAGACAAGAAGAAUCCCAGCAAUGGACAUUCUGGGCAGUUUCUGGGAAGCUUCUAUCAGCUGUUAGCUAGAGUCUGGAUGGCAAGAUGUUGGGCCAGACAGUUGGGUUAGAGGAGGGGAAAAACCAACCAUAAUGUCUUAGAGCUGUAUACACAGAGGGUUUCAGGUAACGCUUUAUGAGUGAAUUAGCCUUUGAAGACUAAUAUUUUUAGCUCUUUGCAGCUUUAGAGGACAUGUGUCACUGUCUCCUGCAGCCCUAACGUGACUACCUGACCCAGACCCAUCCCUGAGCCACAUAAAGACAGUGGCUGUAAAUGUGACAGGAAAUUGCCCACUGGCCCACAUACUACAUCUGGGGCGCCCAAGGUGGGGGCCGAAGGAUGAUUCCCUUAACCGGGCUCUGUCUUGCUCUUCCUCUGCCUUGUUUCCAGAUCUCACUUAUUUAUUCAGUAAAUGAUUAUUAAACCAUUACCGUAUGCCUUGCACCGUGCUAGGCAUGGGGCAUACGGUGGUGAACAAGACAGAAUUGAUCUCUAUCCUCAUAGACCUUAGAGUCUGGUGGAGAUUUCAGACAGGAAGGAGGCAAAGAAGCAUAAUAUAUAUACAAGAUACAUACAUGCGUUCAUGAAAAACUAUGACAGCACUGCUCUGUUUUUCCUUUACAAUCACUUGGUUACAUUCAUCUGAGGCUGUGUAUGGUUGAAUCCAUAGAUUCGAAUUCAAAGAUCUGGAGACACCCUCACUAUCAGGAACUGAUCACAAGGUGACACAUGCCCAGACUGGUUCCACUCCGAUCUUGCCUUCAUCUCCCUCUACAGCAUUAUUCAGGUGGCCUUUCUAUAAACAAACAAACAAACAAAUAAAUAAAAGGGCAUUUCAGGAAUGUGUGCCCAGAUCCUAUAGUUUCCCACCUCUCCAAGCUGAACUCAUUCCUUGGUUCAAAUGGCUUUUUCCUAUGGUUCCUAAUUCCUUACUUUUGUAUCACUUAUCUGUGGUCACAAUAAUGCUGCAUAACAGACGGUCUCAAAGUCCAAAAUAAUAAACAUCUACUUAGUUUAUGGGUCUGUGUGCUGGAGGUUUAGGCUGAGCUGGCCAAGCAGUUCUGGUCUCAGAACUCACUCACGUAUCUGGUAAUUGUCUGACUAUUGGCCAUCUUGGCUGGGAUGGCUGAUGAUUCAACUCUGCUCCCACGUUUGUGUCCCAUCCUCCAGCAGACUAGCUGGGGCACGUUGUCUUGGUGGCGACAGAAGACAAGAACAGAAAUGCACAUGGAAACAUGUAAGUGCUCUUUCAAGCAUCUGCUUGUGUCUCGCCCACUAAUAUCCCAUUGGAUAAAGCAAGUCACAUGUCUGGAUGCACAGACAGUAGGAGGUCUUCAGAGGUCAUGGCUACAAGAAGGGGUGGGGAACUAGGAUCGUGGAUGUGAUCACUUUACCAUACCUACCAUCUCCUUUUUUUGCUUUUUGGAUGAAUGAAGAGAGCUCAUCUGAUUGGGACGUUUGCUUGAUUUAAUACUGGGACAUCACUGGCAAUUUUUGUGUUCAUAUUUUUAAAAUUUGCCAACAGUAAAAUUUACCUUUUUGGGUGUAUAUAAUUCUAUGAUUUUUUUUUAACACCGGCAAGGACUCGUAUAAUGACAAAUAAGACACAGAGCAGUUCCUCCCAGAAUUCCUCAGGUCACUGACAUUUUGAGACCUCACGUCUGGAUGCAGCUUCCCCCAAAAAACUGGUAUGUUUGAGUGCAAAAAAGUUAAAGCCUUAGCAACGCCUCUGGGCUAUUGUGUAGCCCAAACUUGAGGUGUCACCAAGAUAAACGAGUCAAAAGAGUUAGACAUCAGAUGGAAUGCCUUGUGAAGACUUUGGUAUUAAGAAAUUCUAAAAGUUUCAAGCCGGAGGGAUCUGAACUUGAAGAGAUCACUACAUUAAACAAUAACCUAAAUCCCAGAGGGGUUUGAGUGCAUUUUCAAAAUGAGGGAGGCAUGGAGAGAGAAAGAAGAAGAGAGGGAGAGAGAGAGAGAGAACAAGGACCUAUGCCUCUCGCUCAGUCCGCUGUUGCUCAAAGCUUCUCCCAUUUGCCCUUCAUCUCUGCUACGAUGUUCAUCUCUGCCCUUUGACUUUAUUUUCCUACUAUCUGGCCCAGUGAGAAUAGACUGGCCUAUCAAUUCUCUGUUGUCUUAAUUCCUCUUGUGGAAGCUGAAGGUCUUGUUUUCUUCCAAGAAAGCCCAUUUGGUGCUAACUGAUCUGAGGUGCCUCCCCUAGGUUUGCAGAGGGAGCCAGGUUUUAGUUCCUGGAAAAUGUAAGACACAAUUUGAUCUUUGCUACCCUCUUGGACUCCUGCCAAGUUCCCUUUCCCUGUCUCAGAGCUCUCCCAGCUGCCAGGGAAUUUGAUCUGGAUUUGUCUUAUCAGUCCUAGGGCAAUAAGCAGGUGAUGAAUGAGAGGGACUGGGGAGGCAGCUGUCUCUUCUUCGAGGCCACUGGCAUUUUUGAAAGGGACUAUGUGUGUGGCAGUUGCUGGAAAUGGAGGUAAACCUCACUCCCGUGCUCCUUGGUCCAAGGUCUAUAGUAUUCGUCUGUCUCUUCCCCCUGCAGCUAACUUAGAGGUGGCCCUUUCUUCUUGACGGUUCUUGGCCUUCAUGGGGCUUUGCAGUGGCCUGGUCCAGAACAGAAUUUCCUGGGUAUGAUUUUGAUCGAUCUUUAAAACAUCGCUCACACUUACAAAUCAUGCCCAGCGCCUCGAACUGAGUGUGCAAAUGUGCAACAGGUGGAUGCGAGAUUAAAGAUGUGAGAUUAAAGAAUCAAGGAGAAGCUGUUGAGUCAUGGCGUCUGAUCCACUCAGACCUGCUACGCUCUCUUCAAGAACCUGCGAUGUCCUUUGAGAGGGUCUGCUUGUGAGUUGCACGUCUUCUGCUCGGCUGCAGGGAGGAAAGCCCUCCAUUUCUGCCGGAGUAAAAACGUGAGCAGGGAAGAUGGAACCUAGACUCAUGGACAUCUGGACCCAGCUGGACAAACCCCUGUAUGAUGAAGGCACUGGGCCGAUUCUGUAGGACGCUGUUUGCCUCCCUGUCCCGAAUAGAAGUGUACCCAGCCUGCCCAGCUGACACCUCAGCAUUCCUGUGCCUCGGGGGUCUGAUGCCACAAAACAAGUCAACCGUCAUUUAGGGGAGUCAUUUCAAGGUUUCCCAUGUCUGCUCUCCGGCUCGCUUUCCCUCUGCUCCUGUCACCAGGAUGUCAGCACCCAGAUUAGCGCGAGGCCCCAACCCAAGCAAGCAUCAACUGGGUUGUCAGCCCCGUGAAUGACCCACCCUGGGGACCUGCUGUUCUAGCCUUGCCUCAGCUGUCACCUUCCUGUGGCCUUUCGCUUUCCUUCGGCAUGAAGAAGUGCCAAAAACAGCAGUCGGCUUCCCCCUGAGGAAGAAGAAGCUACGUGCAAGGUCAGGUAAACGCGGGGCCUAAGAAAGUCUCCCCUCCCCCACCCCACGUAUACUGUGUCUUAUCCUCACUCCAAGCUAAGGACCUCUAUCUAAAUCCAGCCACAGCACCGAUCCCGAAUGGCAGGAAAGUGUUCAACCCAGAAGCCACAUCCUCUGCAGUGCCACAGCCAACACCAGUGAGGGACACGAAGUUAAAUCGAAAUGGAAUUUGAACGACAAAGUGACAUGAUGUCCAUCUCCCUAACGAUGGGACGAGUUGGCCUUCCGUCACUGGCAAGGCAAAACUGCCAGGCCCAGAUCUGUAUUUAAAAGCUAUUUUGCAUGGCUUUAAGUCACCAGCUCAGCUCAAUAUCUAAAACAAAGAGAAUGCAUUAUGGAACAGGACGAAGGGAGCUUGUUAAUUUUCCCACUGAUGCACUGUGAAAUGAAAGCUUUAUUCUAAGAAUGGUAUAUCCUCAGGGCUCUCUCUGGAGAGACGCUGACAAAUCCAAGUGUCCUUACUGUUUCCUUUACCCCCUGCUUCACGGCUUUUUUAUACACAUUUACCAAAUAUGUAUAUUUCAUGGUAUGUCAGUAUCUGUAGGACUCAGUGAGUUCAAGUCUGUGAUUCUUUUCAGGGCUUCUUUGACAAUAGAGUGCUCAGGUGAUGUUAUUGAUGAACAUACACACACACACACACACACACACACACACACACGUUUGAUUGUGUACAGCCCGUCUGUGUAUAUUAUAGAAGUGUCCGUGCAGCCUGCGAGCUAUUGUCCAUGCUAGUGAGCUGUAUAGCCCAUCUCCAAUUGGAACCCAAUGAAAUAAUCAUGAUAAUUUUGCCUUCGUGUAUCACCUUUCAUCAGGGAGGAUGAAAGGGCUUCACAAACUCUGGGUUCCUCUUUGAUCCAGGCUACUAUCUGGUGUACCAAUCUCCACUGUGCAUUCUGCCCUCACCCCGCAGAUGGGCCUCCCAUUGACAGUAAUUGAACUUCCACAUGCGGAGCUCC